rnacentral:misc_RNA from 1 species
GCGCAGUAUUCGAGAGGCAAUUGAAUUACAAAAUCAUGAGUUACUUCCGGGCAUUCUUGAACAGUCCUGUUGGCCCUAAAACAACUCACUUUUGGGGUCCUAUGGCCAACUGGGGCUUUGUCAUUUCUGGAGUGAUGGAUUCACAGAAGCCCCCUGAUGCAAUAUCUGGCAAUAUGACUUCAGUGCUAUGUGUAUAUUCACUAUUAUGUAUGAGAUUUGCAUGGAUGGUACGUCCUCGCAAUUAUCUUCUUCUGGCUUGCCAUGCUUCAAAUGAGUCAGUGCAGCUCUAUCAACUCUCACGUUGGCUAAAGCAUCAGCGGUACUUGUCUCAGAAGGAAGAGAGCGUUUCUUCAUGACUUUAAGCUCUGUUCUUCUCAUCAUCCAUCAUUUCGACAACCAAAAAAGAAAAAAGAACAAAAAGAUAGUUGUAUCAUACUGCAAAAGAGUUGGUUAUCUGUGUUACAUCGGUUGUACAAGAGUCUCAAAUGAAUGGAAUGAUGCAAAGUGGC